rnacentral:rRNA from 1 species
UUCAGAUUGCAGUCUGCAACUCGACUGCAUGAAGUCGGAAUCGCUAGUAAUCGCGGAUCAGCAUGCCGCGGUGAAUACGUUCCCGGGCCUUGUACACACCGCCCGUCACACCAUGAGAGUCGGGAACACCCGAAGUCCGUAGCCUAACCGCAAGGGGGGCGCGGCCGAAGGUGGGUUCGAUAAUUGGGGUGAAGUCGUAACAAGGUAGC